rnacentral:rRNA from 1 species
CCUCUUAGCAUGGGCGAGCUGUCCAGCCUGCCGCGUGAUGAGAAGGCUUCGGGUGAAAGACUUUUGCCGGGAGGAAAGGGACAAAACUAAUACCUUUGGCCCCUGACGUUACCGUGCCAAUAAGCACCGGCUUACUCCGUGCCAGCAGCCGCGGUAAUA